AUUGAACGCUGGCGGCAUGCCAUACACAUGCAAGUCGAACGGCAGCACGGGUGCUUGCACCUGGUGGCGAGUGGCGAACGGGUGAGUAAUACAUCGGAACGUACCUUAUCGUGGGGGAUAACGCAGCGAAAGCUGUGCUAAUACCGCAUACGCCCUGAGGGGGAAAGCGGGGGAUCGAAAGACCUCGCGCGAUUAGAGCGGCCGAUGCCUGAUUAGCUUGUUGGUGGGGUAAAAGCCCACCAAGGCGACGAUCAGUAGCUGGUCUGAGAGGACGAUCAGCCACACUGGGACUGAGACACGGCCCAGACUCCUACGGGGGGCAGCAGUGGGGAAUUUUGGACAAUGGGGGCAACCCUGAUCCAGCAAUGCCGCGUGAGUGAAGAAGGCCUUCGGGUUGUAAAGCUCUUUUGUCAGGGAAGAAACACCGGCUCUAACACAGUCCGGGAAUGACGGUACCUGAAGAAUAAGCACCGGCUAACUACGUGCCAGCCGCCGCAGUAA
rnacentral:rRNA from 1 species